CAGCCUAUACUGCAAGUCGAGCGGAAGAAGGGAGCUUGCUCCCGGAUGUUAGCGGCGGACGGGUGAGUAACACGUGGGUAACCUGCCUGUAAGACUGGGAUAACUCCGGGAAACCGGAGCUAAUACCGGAUAGUUCCUUGAACCGCAUGGUUCAAGGAUGAAAGACGGUUUCGGCUGUCACUUACAGAUGGACCCGCGGCGCAUUAGCUAGUUGGUGGGGUAAUGGCUCACCAAGGCGACGAUGCGUAGCCGACCUGAGAGGGUGAUCGGCCACACUGGGACUGAGACACGGCCCAGACUCCUACGGGAGGCAGCAGUAGGGAAUCUUCCGCAAUGGACGAAAGUCUGACGGAGCAACGCCGCGUGAGUGAUGAAGGUUUUCGGAUCGUAAAGCUCUGUUGUUAGGGAAGAACAAGUGCGAGAGUAACUGCUCGCACCUUGACGGUACCUAACCAGAAAGCCACGGCUAACUACGUGCCAGCAGCCGCGGUAAUACGUAGGUGGCAAGCGUUGUCCGGAAUUAUUGGGCGUAAAGGGCUCGCAGGCGGUUUCUUAAGUCUGAUGUGAAAGCCCCCGGCUCAACCGGGGAGGGUCAUUGGAAACUGGGAAACUUGAGUGCAGAAGAGGAGAGUGGAAUUCCACGUGUAGCGGUGAAAUGCGUAGAGAUGUGGAGGAACACCAGUGGCGAAGGCGACUCUCUGGUCUGUAACUGACGCUGAGGAGCGAAAGCGUGGGGAGCGAACAGGAUUAGAUACCCUGGUAGUCCACGCCGUAAACGAUGAGUGCUAAGUGUUAGGGGGUUUCCGCCCCUUAGUGCUGCAGCUAACGCAUUAAGCACUCCGCCUGGGGAGUACGGUCGCAAGACUGAAACUCAAAGGAAUUGACGGGGGCCCGCACAAGCGGUGGAGCAUGUGGUUUAAUUCGAAGCAACGCGAAGAACCUUACCAGGUCUUGACAUCCUCUGACAACCCUAGAGAUAGGGCUUUCCCUUCGGGGACAGAGUGACAGGUGGUGCAUGGUUGUCGUCAGCUCGUGUCGUGAGAUGUUGGGUUAAGUCCCGCAACGAGCGCAACCCUUGAUCUUAGUUGCCAGCAUUUAGUUGGGCACUCUAAGGUGACUGCCGGUGACAAACCGGAAGAAAGGUGGGGAUGACGUCAAAUCAUCAUGCCCCUUAUGACCUGGGCUACACCCUCUACAAUGGA
rnacentral:rRNA from 1 species